rnacentral:rRNA from 1 species
CUUUGCAAGUAUAACAAUAAUUUUAAACCCCGAAAUCUUGUGAGCUGCAACUUGCUCGUUAUUAGAACCCACCGAAUGAUGUCUCACUAUCACCAAAAAAGCAAGUUACAGUGGCUACAUACCUCCCGCACAAGCUGAUAGCUGGUUUUUCAUUAACCCAGUAUAAGCUGACAAAACUGAAAAUGCUAAAUAAUCAUGAUUCAGUUAUCUAAAAAAAUUGAGGAUAAGCCCAAUUUAUAUGCUAAUUUUAACCACUAAAAAAUAAAAAAGUAGGCCCAGAACCAGCCACCCAUAAUUUCGUUAUAGUAAACACAAAAUAAAGAUUUAUACAUAAAAAUUAACACCUAAAUGAAAUAUAGAAUAAAACAGAAAUUCUAAAAACUAUGCAAAGAUUAGUAUUUACCAAAACCCCAUAUAUAAAAAGAAGGAACUCGGCAAACACCAGCUUCGACUGUUUAACAAAAACAUAGCCUAUUGAAACCCAAAUAAUAGGUAAAUCCUGCCCAGUGAUAUUUUAUUUAACGGCCGCGGUACCCUGACCGUGCGAAGGUAGCAUAAUCAUUUGCCUUCUAAUUAGAGGCUAGUAUGAAUGGACAAACGAAAGCAAAGCUGUCUCCCUUUUAACCAUAAAAAUUUACCCCCAGGUGAAGAGGCCUGGAUCCAUAUAAAAGACAAGAAGACCCUGUCGAGCUUUAAUCUGAAUAAAUCACCAGUUUACCCAAUACUCUCAUUUAAUCAAGAUUUUUGUUGGGGCGACAAAGGAAUAAACAAAUCUUCCUAAGAAAAAAAGAAAAUAAUUCACACAAAAGAUCCAAAUUAUGAUCAAUAGAACUAGCUACCGCAGGGAUAACAGUCUAAUCUUCCUUAAGAGCCCAAAUCUACAGGAAGGAUUGGCACCUCGAUGUUGGCUUAAGAAUUCUUUUAGAUGCAGAAGUCUAAAAAGACGGUUUGUUCAACCCUUAAUU